CCUACGGGAGGCAGCAGUGAGGAAUAUUGGUCAAUGGCCGAGAGCCUGAACCAGCCAAGUCGCGUGAGGGAAGACUGCCCUACGGGUUGUAAACUUCUUUUGUCAGGGAACAAAGUCAGGCACGUGUGCCUGUUUGCGUGUACUUGAAGAAAAAGCAUCGGCUAACUCCGUGCCAGCAGCCGCGGUAAUACGGAGGAUGCGAGCGUUAUCCGGAUUUAUUGGGUUUAAAGGGGGCGUAGGGGGGUUGUUAAGUCAGCGGUAAAAUUUUGGGGCUAAACCCCAUAGAGCCGUUGAAACUGGCAGUCUUGAGUAGGCGAGAGGUAGGCGGAAUGCGUGGUGUAGCGGUGAAAUGCAUAGAUAUCGCGAAGAACUCCGAUUGCGAAGGCAGCUUAC
rnacentral:rRNA from 1 species